AAAACCUACAUCCUGAACUUCGUGGUUUAAAGGGAUUGAAUCAGCAAGCUGAGGAUAAAAACCAGCAUGUUGACAAAGAGGGUGGCCUGAGUGGUGGUGAAAGGGACAUGGCUCCGGUUACCGGCAAUUCCAUUCACAGGUCAGGUUCUCGUCCACAGCUAGACCUCAGCAAAGCAGAAAUUCAGGGAAAUUUUGAGGAGAGAGACCCCACAAUUCUGUUGCCUAACCAAUCUGAUGAUAUAUCUCACCUUGCUCUUGACAUCGGCGGAUCUCUCAUCAAAUUGGUGUACUUUUCAAGACAUGAAGAUCAAUCGGUUGAUGAUAAGAGA
rnacentral:misc_RNA from 1 species